rnacentral:rRNA from 1 species
GAUGAACGCUGGCGGCGUGCCUAAUACAUGCAAGUCGAGCGAACAGACGAGGAGCUUGCUCCGCUGACGUUAGCGGCGGACGGGUGAGUAACACGUGGAUAACCUACCUAUAAGACUGGGAUAACUUCGGGAAACCGGAGCUAAUACCGGAUAAUAUAUUGAACCGCAUGGUUCAAUAGUGAAAGACGGUUUUGCUGUCACUUAUAGAUGGAUCCGCGCCGCAUUAGCUAGUUGGUCAGGUAACGGCUUACCAAGGCAACGAUGCGUAGCCGACCUGAGAGGGUGAUCGGCCACCCUGGAACUGCGACACGGUCCAGACUCCUACGGGAGGCAGCAGUAGGGAAUCUUCCGCAAUGGGCGAAAGCCUGACGGAGCAACGCCGCGUGAGUGAUGAAGGUCCUCGGAUCGUAAAACUCUGUUAUUAGGGAAGAACAAAUGUGUAAGUAACUAUGCACGUCUUGACGGUACCUAAUCAGAAAGCCCCGGCUAACUACGUG